rnacentral:lncRNA from 1 species
UUGUUGUUGUUGUUGCUAUUUCUUGGGCCGCUCCCGCGGCAUAUGGAGGUUCCCAGGCUAGGGGUUGAAUUGGAGCUGUAGCCACCGGCCUACGCCAGAGCUACAGCAACGCGGGAUCCGAGCCGCGUCUGCAACCUACACCACAGCUCACGGCAACGCCGGAUCGUUAACCCACAAGCAAGGCCAGGGACCGAACCCGCAACCUCAUGGUUCCUAGUCGGAUUCGUUAACCACUGCGCCAUGACGGGAACUCCUGAGAUGAAUUUUCUAAAACUUAUGUUUACAUUCAGAAACCAGCGUUAUCUACUCGCUGGUCACAAUGUUUCAUAUUCCAUCCACGUGAAAAUACACUGAACCUUACCAGUUCUCCCAUGAGUCUCAACCGUUAGUGUGUCAGGCUCAGGCUCAAGUCCCAGAUUUUACCAUCUUCAUCAGGUACAGAGAGGGACGAGUCAACUUGGUGUGGUUUCUAGAGUUUAUCCCCUUGAGUGCAGUCCUCUCACCAUGAAGACUUGGGAACUAAAGGGUCACGUUAUCUACCACCCCCACACCCAACAUUCUGGUAAGCUGCUCAAGGCUCUCCCAUUACGAAAUGGAAACGGAGAGGCACAGUGGACUACAGCAGUUCUGAAAUACAGCCUGGUACCUGCUCUUUGAUUAGGACUUGGGAGCGAUUCUCCUUUGCUCUACCCUCUGGGCUCUUAGUUCUGUCCUUUUCAUGAGCAGUGACCUGGGUUUGUAGCUAAGUAGUUUUCGCAGGCAACUUCCUCCGCGUAGAAUUGCUAAGGAAAACCUUUUGAAGUCCUCUUCACAUUUUGUAAGGUCUUGGUCUCUUUUAGUCCAACUGUGGUAGCAGUGUUUUUGUUUCCACAGCUCUCUUUAUAACUUUGAGUUUCCUGUGAAUUUUAUUGGGGUUCAUUCCUUCAAAAAAGCUACCGUCACAAGAAUCUUUUUGAGAUAACUCUUCACCUUGGGCUUCCUGUGAAGUUGUCACGAGAAGAUACCUUUCAAAUGCUUAUGCUUUUAAGAUCCUAAAAGAAGGAAUUUGAGGUAGACCUUCAAUCUUCCAAGGUCUUAAUAAAGUGUUUUACAGACUUGGCUUCAUCUUUAGGUCAUGUGUUCCUGGGAGCACCCUAGAUGUGCUCUUAGCCCAGAAGCCAUUUCUCUAUUUUAGUUUUGCUUGACAGGUGGACAUGUGGAGGUGCUAUCAAUGG